GUAGGGAAUAUUGGGCAAUGGAUGCAAGUCUGACCCAGCCAUGCCGCGUGUGUGAAGAAGGCCUUUUGGUUGUAAAGCACUUUAAGCGAGGAGGAGGCUACCGAGAUUAAUACUCUUGGAUAGUGGACGUUACUCGCAGAAUAAGCACCGGCUAACUCUGUGCCAGCAGCCGCGGUAAUACAGAGGGUGCAAGCGUUAAUCGGAUUUACUGGGCGUAAAGCGCGCGUAGGUGGCCAAUUAAGUCAAAUGUGAAAUCCCCGAGCUUAACUUGGGAAUUGCAUUCGAUACUGGUUGGCUAGAGUAUGGGAGAGGAUGGUAGAAUUCCAGGUGUAGCGGUGAAAUGCGUAGAGAUCUGGAGGAAUACCGAUGGCGAAGGCAGCCAUCUGGCCUAAUACUGACACUGAGGUGCGAAAGCAUGGGGAGCAAACAGGAUUAGAUACCCUUGUAGUCC
rnacentral:rRNA from 1 species